GCGGUGGAGCAUGUGGUUUAAUUCGAUGCGAACGCGAAGAACCUUACCUGGUCUUGACAUCCACGGAAGUUUACAGAGAUGAGAAUGUGCCUUCGGGAACCGUGAGACAGGUGCUGCAUGGCUGUCGUCAGCUCGUGUUGUGAAAUGUUGGGUUAAGUCCCGCAACGAGCGCAACCCUUAUCCUUUGUUGCCAGCGGUCCGGCCGGGAAACUCAAAGGAGACUGCCAGUGAUAAACUGGAGGAAGGUGGGGAUGACGUCAAGUCAUCAUGGCCCUUACGACCAGGGCUACACACGUGCUACAAUGGCGCAUACAAAGAGAAGCGACCUCGCGAGAGCAAGCGGACCUCAUAAAGUGCGUCGUAGUCCGGAUUGGAGUCUGCAACUCGACUCCAUGAAGUCGGAAUCGCUAGUAAUCGUGGAUCAGAAUGUCACGGUGAAUGCGUUCCCGGGCCUU
rnacentral:rRNA from 1 species